rnacentral:rRNA from 1 species
UACGGAGGAUCCAAGCGUUAUCCGGAUUUAUUGGGUUUAAAGGGUGCGUAGGCGGCUUAUUAAGUCAGGGGUGAAAGACGGUGGCUCAACCAUCGCAGUGCCUUUGAUACUGAUGAGCUUGAAUACACUUGAGGUAGGCGGAAUGUGACAAGUAGCGGUGAAAUGCAUAGAUAUGUCACAGAACACCAAUUGCGAAGGCAGCUUACUGAGGUGUUAUUGACGCUGAGGCACGAAAGCGUGGGGAGCAAACAGG